AUAUAAGGCAUACAAUAUAUUAGGUUAUCGGAAUUGAGUGAUUGUAUUAAG
rnacentral:guide_RNA from 1 species